CACGUAGGCGGAUUGGAAAGUUAGAGGUGAAAUCCCUGGGCUCAACCCAGGAACUGCCUUUAAAACUAUCAGUCUAGAGGUCGAGAGAGGUGAGUGGAAUUCCGAGUGUAGAGGUGAAAUUCGUAGAUAUUCGGAGGAACACCAGUGGCGAAGGCGGCUCACUGGCUCGAUACUGACGCUGAGGUGCGAAAGUGUGGGGAGCAAACAGGAUUAGAUACCCUGGUAGUCC
rnacentral:rRNA from 1 species